AUUUCUCACUGUUGUGAAUCUUCAGAAUUGUCACUGCUACAUCUGCCACGGUCCGAGGGGGGAAGGGAAAUGGGGCCGGGCACUGCAAUAAGGGUUCACAGCACAGUUGGGGUUCGUGCAGCAAUGCCUGUUUAUUUAGGGGGAACAAGGGUUUAAAUAAAGUAGGUCUGAGGGGCGGAUUCUAAACUGGGGAGGCGCAAGAGAUUGACAACUCAGGGAAAAGUGUGAUAGGGAGACAGGAGAAAGGUGGGUGGAACUCCCGGGUCUCUAGGGGAAUGGGCCAAUGGUAGCUCUCCCUGCACUGUGGCAAACUGUAACCAAUCAGUGGCAGAGGAGCGGGAAAACUGGGAAAACAGGGUGACAAAUAACUUUUGGAGGGAAAAUCUGAGGGAGAACUGGGGACAAUAUGGAGUUCACAGAGGAAACCCCAUGAAAUGCACUGAGUAUGGCCAGUCUUUGCGAGCGAAGAUUUGGGAAAGGUCUUUACCCUUCGAGCCUGCGCAGUGGAUUUUUUAGAGGGACACUACAAGUCCAUCCUCCUAAGGGCUGCUCAGUCAACUGCUUUUGAGUGUCCAAGUGACCCCCUCAAAUAUAUUUGUUUCUGCUGACAAUAAACAAGUCCAGAGCACCUCAGAUGGAGACAAACAGCUCAUGGAUGUCUGAGUCUACCUGGGGUGAGACAUUCUCCUGCACUGCUUCUUGGGGUCACCACAGGGACAGGGUAAGGACCAUCUGCACCAAAAGUAAAAGCCUCUGUGCUGCAGCCUGGAAGAGCAACUCCUUUCCUCUUUCAGAAGGAUAUUUGCUUUUCUCAUGGAAAAUCUCUUCAUCCUCUAGAUACU